rnacentral:rRNA from 1 species
CAUGCAAGUCGAGCGGUAAGGCCUCUUCGGGGGUACACGAGCGGCGAACGGGUGAGUAACACGUGGGUGACCUGCCCUCAGCUCUGGGAUAAGCCUGGGAAACUGGGUCUAAUACCGGAUAUGACCUGCUGUUGCAUGACGGUGGGUGGAAAGUUUUUCGGCUGGGGAUGGGCCCGCGGCCUAUCAGCUUGUUGGUGGGGUGAUGGCCUACCAAGGCGACGACGGGUAGCCGGCCUGAGAGGGCGACCGGCCACACUGGGACUGAGAUACGGCCCAGACUCCUACGGGAGGCAGCAGUGGGGAAUAUUGCGCAAUGGGCGAAAGCCUGACGCAGCGACGCCGCGUGGGGGAUGACGGCCUUCGGGUUGUAAACCUCUUUCGACCGGGACGAAGGGUGACUGACGGUACCGGUAGAAGAAGCACCGGCCAACUACGUGCCAGCAGCCGCGGUAAUACGUAGGGUGCGAGCGUUGUCCGGAAUUAUUGGGCGUAAAGAGCUCGUAGGCGGUGUGUCGCGUCGGUCGUGAAAACUUGGGGCUUAACCCUGAGCGUGCGGUCGAUACGGGCAUCACUUGAGUUCGGCAGGGGAGACUGGAAUUCCUGGUGUAGCGGUGAAAUGCGCAGAUAUCANGAGGAACACCGGUGGCGAAAGGCGGGUCUCUGGGCCGAUACUGACGCUGA